GCCAGCAUGGCCGAGCGGUUAAGGCGGUAGCUUAAGGUGCUAUUACAGUAAUGUGCGUGGGUUCGAAUCCCACUGCUGGUA